rnacentral:rRNA from 1 species
AACGAACGCUGGCGGCAUGCCUAACACAUGCAAGUCGAACGAGACCUUCGGGUCUAGUGGCGCACGGGUGCGUAACGCGUGGGAACCUGCCCUUAGGUUCGGAAUAACUCCCCGAAAGGGGUGCUAAUACCGGAUAAUGUCUUCGGACCAAAGAUUUAUCGCCUUUGGAUGGGCCCGCGUUGGAUUAGCUAGUUGGUAGGGUAAAAGCCUACCAAGGCGACGAUCCAUAGCUGGUCUGAGAGGAUGAUCAGCCACACUGGGACUGAGACACGGCCCAGACUCUUACGGGAGGCAGCAGUGGGGAAUAUUGGACCAUGGGCGAAAGCCUGAUCCAGCAAUGCCGCGUGAGUGAUGAAGGCCUUAGGGUUGUAAAGCUCUUUUACCCGGGAUGAUAAUGACAGUACCGGGAGAAUAAGCUCCGGCUAACUCCGUG